rnacentral:rRNA from 1 species
GUCGAGAAUCUUCCGCAAUGCGCGAAAGCGUGACGGAGCGACACCGCGUGAUGGAUGAAGUCCUUCGGGGCGUAAACAUCUUUUAUAAAGGAGGAAAUUUUUGACGUUACUUUAUGAAUAAGGGGCUCCCAAUCUCGUGCCAGCAGGAGUGGUAAUACGAGAGCCUCAAGCGUUAUCCGGAAUCAUUGGGCGUAAAGGGUGCGUAGGUGGUUUGAUUAGUCUCCCGUUAAAACUUCGAGCUUAACUCGAAAAGAGCGGGGGAAACGGUCAAACUAGAGUAUGUGAGAGGUGUGUGGAACUCAUGGUGUAGGGGUGAAAUCCGUUGAUAUCAUGGGGAACACCAAAAGCGAAGGCAGCACACUGGCACAUCACUGACACUGAGGCACGAAACCUAAGGUAGCGAAUGGGAUUAGAUACCCCAGUAGUCC